AUCUCUGCUGGUCCUGACAAUUGAGCGUCUUCAGGAGAAAGUGAAAAGUGUCCGCCUAAAGGUUGCAGACCUGAAAGAAAAGGUGACUGCUAAGGAGGGAACAGAAGUAACAAAGAACAUCCUGGCCGAACACGCUGAUCUCUUGUUGCGACAUAGAGAAAAGCUAGUAGAGAGGAAGCAGCGUAAGUUCGAGCGUGACGCCAAGGACUUCAGAGAAAACCGCGUUUACACGUGGCGAGAGGAGCGGAGAAGGCAGCGGUUCUAUCAAGACGGGGAAGAGCCCGUGAGUCAGACCGACCUGCCGGCCCCUUACCCAGACAGAGUUCAGCCGGUAUAUCGAUACGGCGCAAGGAACACCAACAGAAGGAGGGGGCGCGAAUAUACGACUUACCAGCCACGCUACACUAGGGAGCGGUCGUCAGACAGCAGCAGGAGCAGCACCUCUACGCCUUCCACCAGCAGCACGAGUAACCCCUGUGGCAAUUACAGCGUGCCUUUUUUAGGAGGAACACACGAGCAGCAACAAAGAAGAAAUCCAAGGGAACCAAUUCAAAGGGAGCAGUAUCCGAGCAGGAAGAGGAGAUAAAGAGAUAUGCGGCUGCCCUUAGAUACAGAGUAGAAUAGAAACAAGAAUCUACAGUUACAGCACUACAGAGUGGUAAGAGAAACUGGGCAAUGUCGCUAUAAGGGCAGGUAAAUUAAAUGAAAAGCAAAAUAGUAAAUAUGAUGUAUUUGUGCUUAUCGUGUGCUCUAUUUACAGUAUAUAAAAUGAAUGAUCACUUAAGUGAAUACUUGAAGCAAUUUUGGACUCUUUAUUGUAGGCUUCAUUGCAGUACAAAGGGGUAAAGUGUAAUAACCUGGAUUUUAACUUGGACACUUUAAUAUGGACUUUUAAUAAUGGACACUUGGCACAAAUGGAGGGGACACCAAUUUGACACAAAAAGGAUUGGACUGAUGGAGGUUAGGCGAAUAAACCCCCGAAGCAGUAACCUCUGAUGACCUUGUCUUUUAAUUACUUUUAACCACUUUUUAACCAUUGGGUGAAGUUAAUCUGUCUACCAAUGAUGGUGGAGGGGAGGAGUCUAAUGUAUUUAAAGUUUUUGUACGAUGUGCACCUGUGAACACUUGACAAAGAGCCACAAUGCUCGAAACAUGUUGUGUUUAAUAAACCUUGCAGCAAA